CUCUAAUUGACGAAUCCCAAAUAGGACGAAACGCGCGUCCUGGAU
rnacentral:hammerhead_ribozyme from 1 species